GUCACACCACGAAAGUUUGUUGUACCCGAAGUCGGUGCCUUAACCUCGCAAGAGGAGAGAGCCGCCCAAGGUAUGGCCGAUGAUUGGGGUGAAGUCGUAACAAGGUAGCCGUAGGGGAACCUGCGGCUGGAUCACCUCCUUUCUAGGAGAGAAGGGUCCUGGAUGAAGCGCUCCUAUUUAGUCUUGUGAAGGAUCCGAGUGGAAGCCGGGACCGGAGAAAGACCGGGCCUGUAGCUCAGAUGGUGAGAGCGCACGCCUGAUAAGCGUGAGGUCGAUAGUUCGAAUCUAUCCAGGCCCACCAUCUGCGGGGAUGUAGCUCAGUUGGGAGAGCGCCUGCUUUGCAAGCAGG
rnacentral:rRNA from 1 species